rnacentral:rRNA from 1 species
UGGGGGAUUUUGGACAAUGGGCGAAAGCCUGAUCCAGCAAUGCCGCGUGUGUGAAGAAGGCCUUCGGGUUGUAAAGCACUUUUGUCCGGAAAGAAAUCCUUGGCUCUAAUACAGUCGGGGGAUGACGGUACCGGAAGAAUAAGCACCGGCUAACUACGUGCCAGCAGCCGCGGUAAUACGUAGGGUGCAAGCGUUAAUUGGAAUUACUGGGCGUAAAGCGUGCGCAGGCGGUUUGCUAAGACCGAUGUGAAAUCCCCGGGCUCAACCUGGGAACUGCAUUGGUGACUGGCAGGCUAGAGUAUGGCAGAGGGGGGUAGAAUUCCACGUGUAGCAGUGAAAUGCGUAGAGAUGUGGAGGAAUACCGAUGGCGAAGGCAGCCCCCUGGGCCAAUACUGACGCUCAUGCACGAAAGCGUGGGGAGCAAACAGGAUUAGAUACCCUGGUAGUCCACGCCCUAAACGAUGUCAACUAGUUGUUGGGGAUUCAUUUCCUUAGUAACGUAGCUAACGCGUGAAGUUGACCGCCUGGGGAGUAC